GGUGGCUCAGUCGUAGAGUGUUUGCCUUGCAUGCAUGAGGACCUGGGUUCAAUUCCUCAGCACCA
rnacentral:tRNA from 1 species